UUCUAGACAGGAUAUUUAUGUUCUGUUCUUUUUAAUAACAGAAACCUCUUCAUCGGACCGGCGGGUCGUUAGCCAUGUCAAUAGAAACAAUGCCGGAGAACGCGGAGGAGAGAGAUCCGCAACAGAAGAUUGAAGAAGAGACUACACCGCUCCUCGACGGGGAAUCGAAUUCAAGGACCGCGACGACGAAGGUUCCGGGGGUGGAAAUCCAUCUAUACCGGUGUGGAGAAGGUCCGGAUCGACGUGUUCAAGUCGAAUCUCGGCGGUUGGGAGCAGAAUCAACUCGAAGUUCGAUCUAUCCUUGAGAAAUAUGGAUUGAAAUCCAUCUUCGCUUUCAACGUCGAGAGAGGACGAGCCGCCCCUAUCCGGUGUCACCCUAGGAAUGGCUGGUCUGUGUUGCCUUACAGGGAUGGUGCCGUGGUUUACAUCGACGGUGAACCUCAGGAUUCUAUGCUCAAACCCAUUACAAGAAUCGUGCUCGGAGUUGUGAUUGUUAUGCUGUUAACAACGUUUCUAUUGAAAGACCCUCCAGCGUGGAUCAAGAACAACAUCUCCAUGGGGAACUUUCCUCCGUGGGUGCUCGCGUGCAUAGUAAUAGUAGUCACCCGAGCGAGGAAGAGAACCAGAGACUUCUUCAAGAAGUGUGGCUGGUGAUGUCACAGACCCUAACACUUGCCGCCUUUGUCAGGCCUUGUGGUGCCAGGUUGUUUGCUUUCAGAAGCAAGAAGGCAAUCAUUCUCUCCAUUUGCAUCCGUUGAACUUAUAGUUUUAUGCAUUUUCAUGUGUAUGCGAGUGGAAAUAGAUAAUUUAGUCUGCUGGAAACCCAAAAGUUUGGUAAAAGUAACAAGACUGUUCAUGUUAAAAUUUCUUUUGUAUUAUUCCUGUUGAAACA